AACGAACGCUGGCGGCAUGCCUAACACAUGCAAGUCGAACGAGACCUUCGGGUCUAGUGGCGCACGGGUGCGUAACGCGUGGGAACCUGCCCUUAGGUUCGGAAUAACUCCCCGAAAGGGGUGCUAAUACCGGAUAAUGUCUUCGGACCAAAGAUUUAUCGCCUUUGGAUGGGCCCGCGUUGGAUUAGCUAGUUGGUAGGGUAAAAGCCUACCAAGGCGACGAUCCAUAGCUGGUCUGACAGGAUGAUCAGCCACACUGGGACUGAGACACGGCCCAGACUCCUACGGGAGGCAGCAGUGGGGAAUAUUGGACAAUGGGCGAAAGCCUGAUCCAGCAAUGCCGCGUGAGUGAUGAAGGCCUUAGGGUUGUAAAGCUCUUUUACCCGGGAUGAUAAUGACAGUACCGGGAGAAUAAGCGCCGGCUAACUCCGUG
rnacentral:rRNA from 1 species